ACUUCCCACUCUCAUCUAUUAUUGUUCUUUUUCUUGUUAUUUUUUUUCUACUAAACAAUAUUAUCCUCUCACUUCAUAAAUCAUUUACCUUUCCCUGAAAUAAUGAGAUUCACUCUCCUAAGCUACAACUAUGGUCUUCCACACACCUCUUAAAGAAAAGUAGGUUUCAAGUCCAUUUUGACUAGUGGAAAAGCAGGGAAAAACAAAUUCAACUCCAGUGAUCAAUAGGUAAGUACAUUCUUGUUUUCUCUAUACAAGAAAAUGAGAGAGAGGAGAAGAGGAACUUUUUUCUUGAGAAAAUAUGUGAUAUGAAUUUCAAAACUAAGAUAAUGAAGUUGAUGUGUUUGAAAAUUUCAUGAACUUAAGAUAAUGCACGUAUGAUGUGUAAACUUGUUUCAUUUUUCUCAUUAAAUCUCAUCAAUUUGACAUAUAUAUAAAAUUUUACUAAUUUAUCAACGAGCAUGGAUUAUAGAAAUUGUUAGAUCAUUUACAGAGUUGGCUCCUUCUGUACUGGUAGAUGGAUCUCCACUGUUGUAUUUUCUCUUUAAGAUAAAAGCAGGUUUCUUUGGAGAAGGAAGACUCACUUCACUCCCCAACAUGAAGAUGACAGUUGACAUGGUUGGACGAUCUGUCGGAUCCUCUUGAACACAUAAUAAUCCAAUUUGGAGGCAUCUUAUUAUGAUUUUGUAUCCACAGCUUGAUUCUUCCAAAC
rnacentral:lncRNA from 1 species